rnacentral:rRNA from 1 species
CCUACGGGAGGCUGCAGUGGGGAAUAUUGCACAAUGGGCGAAACCCUGAUGCAGCGACGCCGCGUGAGUGAAGAAGUAUUUCGGGAUGUAAAGCUCUAUUCGCAGGGAAGAAGAAAGACGGUACCCGACUAAGAAGCCCCGGCGAACUACGUGCCAGCAGCCGCGGUAAGACGUAGGGGGCAAGCGUUAUCCGGAUUUACGGGGUGUAUAGGGAGCGUAGACGGCUGUGCAAGUCUGAAGUGAAAGCCCAGGGCUCAACCCUGGGACUGCUUUGGAAACUGUGGAGCUAGAGUGCUGGAGAGGUAAGUGGAAUUCCUGGUGUAGCGGUGAAAUGCGUAGAUAUUAGGAGGAACACCAGUGGCGAAGGCGGCUUACUGGACAGUAACUGACGUUGAGGCGCGAAAGCGUGGGGAGCAAACAGGAUUAGAUACCCCGGUAGUC